rnacentral:rRNA from 1 species
UACGGAGGAUGCAAGCGUUAUCCGGAAUUAUUGGGCGUAAAGAGUCCGUAGGUGGCGAUUCAAGUCUGCUGUUAAAGACCAGAGCUUAACUCGGGAAAAGCGGUGGAAACUGAAAAGCUAGAGUUCGGGAGGGGUAGAGGGAAUUCCCAGUGUAGCGGUGAAAUGCGUAGAGAUUGGGAAGAACACCAGUGGCGAAGGCGCUCUACUGGACCGAAACUGACACUGAGGGAGGAAAGCUAGGGGAGCGAAAGGG